AGGUAAAUACCUGAAAAUAAGUAACAAUGAUAAUAGUGAAAGAGCAGUAAAGUUAAUAUACGCAGAACACUGGCUGGAGAACUAUUCCUUUAAAAAGAAACUACUGAUUAUACUGGGCUGCUCAGUUACACACAUUAUCUCCUUUGACCAGAAAUGACAUAGGCAUCAGGCAGAGCCAACCGGGAAGUGUUGAUCCCACUUUCUGGUGAUAGUCUUAGAGUAUCUACAACAUUCCAGAUGUCUGGUGACCACUAAACAUAAUUAUUUGUAUAUUCUAGUUGAUAUAGCUGAAGUAUUCUUGAUUGUCCCAAUAGCACAGUAUGAAAGCAAAGUGAGUCCGAGCAAUAAUGGGAUUUCACUUCAACAAAACCUUUGGAAACCAAUGACUAGAGAAGUAUACACAGAAGUCCCCCCUUCUCUGGGCUCUUACUUUCCGAGGUUUCAUCACCUGCAGUCAACUGGGGUCCAGGAGCAGGAGCAGACGACCAUCCUUCUGAAGUACUAUCAGAAGG